GAUGAACGCUGGCGGCGUGCCUAAUACAUGCAAGUCGAGCGAACGGACGAGAAGCUUGCUUCUCUGAUGUUAGCGGCGGAAGGGUGAGUAACACGUGGAUAACCUACCUAUAAGACUGGGAUCACUUCGGGAAACAGGAGCUAAUACCGGCUAAUAUUUUGAACCGCAUGGUUCAAAAGUGAAAGACGGUCUUGCUGUCACUUAUAGAUGGAUCCGCGCUGCAUUAGCUAGUUGGUAAGGUAACGGCUUACCAAGGCAACGAUGCAUAGCCGACCUGAGAGGGUGAUCGGCCACACUGGAACUGAGACACGGCCCAGACUCCUACGGGAGGCAGCAGUAGGGAAUCUUCCGCAAUGGGCGAAAGCCUGACGGAGCAACGCCGCGUGAGUGAUGAAGGUCUUCGGAUCGUAAAACUCUGUUAUUAGGGAAGAACAUAUGUGUAAGUAACUGUGCACAUCUUGACGGUACCUAAUCAGAAAGCCACGGCUAACUACGUG
rnacentral:rRNA from 1 species